ensembl:snRNA U6 U6 spliceosomal RNA
GUGCUCACUUUGGUAACACAUAUACUAAAAUUGGAAUGAUACAGAAAAGAUUAGUAUGGCCCCUGCACAAGGAUGACAUGGAAAUUUGUGAAGUGUUCUAUAUUUUU